AAGAUCCGGUUGCGGUUCUAGUUCUUAUACUCAAUCAUACACAUGACAUAUACUCAUAUUUCACUCUAAAACAC
rnacentral:sRNA from 1 species